AGAGUUUGAUCCUGGCUCAGGACGAACGCUGGCGGCGUGCUUAACACAUGCAAGUCGAACGAGGUGCUUGCNNNNAGGGCGAACGGGUGAGUAACACGUGAGCAACCUGCCCUUGCUGGGAUAGCCUCCGGAAACGGGGAUUAAUACCGGACAUGACCUUUUCCUGCAUGGGGGAGGGUGGAAAGUUUUUCGGCCAGGGAGGGGCUCGCGGCCUAUCAGCUUGUUGGGGGGGUAACGGCCCACCAAGGCGACGACGGGUAGCCGGCCUGAGAGGGCGACCGGCCACACUGGGACUGAGACACGGCCCAGACUCCUACGGGAGGCAGCAGUGGGGAAUAUUGCACAAUGGGGGAAACCCUGAUGCAGCGACGCCGCGUGCGGGAUGAAGGCCUUCGGGUUGUAAACCGCUUUCAGCAGGGGCGAAUCCAGACGGUACCUGCAGAAGAAGCGCCGGCUAACUACGUGCCAGCAGCCGCGGUAAUACGUAGGGCGCAAGCGUUGUCCGGAAUUAUUGGGCGUAAAGAGCUCGUAGGCGGCCUGUUGCGUCCGCUGUGAAAUCCCGGGGCUUAACCCCGGGCGUGCAGUGGAUACGGGCAGGCUGGAGGCAGGCAGGGGAGAACGGAAUUCCCGGUGUAGCGGUGAAAUGCGCAGAUAUCGGGAGGAACACCGGUGGCGAAGGCGGUUCUCUGGGCCUGUACUGACGCUGAGGAGCGAAAGCGUGGGGAGCGAACAGGAUUAGAUACCCUAGUAGUCC
rnacentral:rRNA from 1 species